rnacentral:rRNA from 1 species
GACGAACCGUGCGAACGUUAUUCGGAAUCACUGGGCUUAAAGGGUGCGUAGGCGGCGAAGUAAGUUGGAGGUGAAAUCCUAUCGGCCCAACCGUAGAACGGCCUUCAAUACUGCUUCGCUCGAGGGAGAUAGGGGCAUGUGGAACUCACAGUGGAGCGGUGAAAUGUGUUGAUAUUGUGGGGAACGCCGGUGGCGAAAGCGACAUGCUAGGUCUCAUCUGACGCUGAGGCACGAAAGCCAGGGGAGCGAA